AAAUUUUCAAAAAGUUUCAAUUCCAAAAAGGCAAAAACCCACUCCAAUGCUCCACUGAAGCCACUCUCUCCCUACUCUGAGCUCCCACGACCCGAAUUAAGUUGGCAUCCCCAAGCUCGAAUUGGAACCCCAUUUUAUCUGCUCCGUCAUCUGUCAGAGCCUCUAUAUCUACUAGUUUUCUUUCUCCUUUCGUGGGUGGCAGCGUGUUCGAGGACUUUUCGGGUCCUAAAAUCCAACCCACCUCCCUCAAUCCUUAUUCAUCGACUAUCGUGGCAAACGUAUUGUCGUCACGAUGGUACUCUUUCUCGCUACCCUUAGACCUGAUUUUUAUAAUGGGUUUUUGUUAUGAGUUGAGCUUGAGGAUCAUGCAUUUUUCUUUUAUAAUUUUGUUGGGCAUAUGGUAAUGAUGUAGAAUUGUUGUAUGUACAAUAUAUGAUGAUGUUAUUUAGAGUUGAAAACGAGAUUUGGGGAUUUUCAUUUAAGUAUUGAACUUAAUUUAAUUAUAUUGUUGAUAUGGAAGUUGACAAUGAUGAAGUUGAACUAAAAGAGGCAUAUAUAUUUCUCCGUUUCAUGAUUUUGUUAUCGCUGUUAUUUUUUUGUUAUUACUUUCUUAAUGUAGCAUAGUUCAAAUCGUAUGAUAUCAACUUUUAAAAGUGUGGGUUUUUUUAUUAUUAUUUUUUCUCUCUAUAUGUUGUUAGUUGAAUUAUUGUAGUCAUUGUCUAUACUAAUGCUGAAGUGUUCUGCCAGUGAUCUUAUACUUAUACUUUCUGGCAAGAAGGCAACCACUUUGAAUGAGUAAUUCUCAAAGUAAAAUUAUAUCAACUUUUCAAUCCUUACAACUUUUAGUGGGGAAAUUUGUCAUUGAAAUUUAGUGCAUAUGAUGAAUAACAUGGAAAAUUGUGCAUGUUUUCGUUUACCUGUUGCCAUCUACCAAGAACGGUCUAGUCAUUGAGGCUAUUGGGAUAUAAUGCGACUCGUCUAGUAGACAAGUAUUUUGUAUGUUAUCUAUUAUCAAGAAAUGUUGUUUUGUUUUUUAAUUUAUUCACCUUCAAAAAGACUUGGUUUCUGUCAUUCUAGUUUUCAGUUCAUACAUGUAUGUAUGUUAUAUGUUUAACUAUGCUCCUUGUUGAUUCUUGAGUUGGUUUGGUAAUAAGAAGCAAGGCUCAAAUAUCUAAAGCAAAGGCUGGCAGUUCCUUUUGAUGUUUCUUUUUUGGAGCAUCAAGUAUGGAUGGGAAGCUGUUGAAUGGAAGUGAAGCUCAUCUUCAAGGUAACACAAGAUACUUCAUCAAGCUACUUGAUCCUGUCAUUGAAAGAAUGGAGUUGGUAUCGAUGUGAAAUAUAGGAUAGAAAGUUUUGAUAUCAGAAUGAGGCAUAAAUUGUCAUUGAUGAUUGUAGGAGCGAUAGAAGAUAGGUUUAGGAAAGACAAUGCAAUGAACAUUUAUUGGCUUGUUAUGACUGGU
rnacentral:lncRNA from 1 species